CCCUGUGGGAAGCAGGAGGGACCACCCUCCAAGGCUAAAUACUACCUAGUGACCGAUAGCGUAUAGUACCGUGAGGGAAAGGCGAAAAGAACCCCGUGAGGGGAGUGAAAUAGAACCUGAAACCCUGCACUUACAAGCUGUGGAAGCACAUUUCUUGUGUGACCGCGUACUUUUUGUAGAACGGGCCAACGAGUUACGUUAAGUAGCAAG
rnacentral:rRNA from 1 species